CUGGGAUUAGAUACCCUGUUAUUGAAAAUUUAAUUGAAAAAAAAAUAGAGUAGUAUUAGUUAUUUUCUUGAAACUUAAAAAAUUUGGCGGUAUUUUAAUCUAAUCAGAGGAACUUGUUUUUUAAUUGAUAAUCCUCAUUAUAUCUUACUUAAUUUAAAUAAUUUGUAUACCGUCGUCAUAAGAAUUUCUUAAAAAAGAAAAAAUUUUCUAAAAUUAAAAUUUUUAAUUAUGUCAGAUCAAGGUGCAGUUUAUAAUUAAGUUUAAAUGAGUUACAAUAAAAUUAUUUAUUUACAGUUUUAAAAAUUAAAAUUUUUAAUUAAGGUGGAUUUGAUAGUAAAAUAAAUAAUAGAAUUUAUUUGAUUUUAGUUCUAAAAUAUGUACAAAUCGCCCGUCACUCUCUGA
rnacentral:rRNA from 1 species